rnacentral:tmRNA from 1 species
GGGGGCGUAUUGGAUUCGACAGGGAUAGAUUGAGCUUAAAUUGCAAGCCGAGUUCCAGAGACUCGUAAAAAGCUGGACAUAAAAAUAAACGCAGAUAAUAGCGAACUAGCUUUAGCUGCCUAAUAAGAGCGGCUAACGUCCUUUAAGAUAUGCCUGUGAUUUUAAAAGGGCGCAAUUAACAGGAUACUUUUUCGGGAGAAGACUGCUUUUCCGGAAAGGGAAAUAAAUGCAGUCUAGCAAAGGCAGAUAUUGUUCAUAUGAUUUGCCGGAGCGAAACUUAGAUAUGAAAUAAGCUUGUAGAUGUUUAAGUGGCGAUAUCUUUGGACGCGGGUUCAAUUCCCGCCGCCUCCACCA